rnacentral:tRNA from 1 species
GGCCGACUGGCGCAAUGGUAGCGCGUCAGACUUCUAAUCUGAAGGCUGCGGGUUCGAGACCCGCGUUGGUCA